CCACCUCCGGUACACCACCCGGAAAACUCCAGCCACCUCACAUAAAAUCCAGAUAUCUCUCUCUCUCUCUCUCUCUCUCUCUCUCUCUCACUAUAACAUUUCCUUCAUAGGAUUUAUGUUAACCAUUCUAAAUUAUGUCUUUAAUUGGUUUUUAUUUUGAAUAUGAACAACUCAUUCUAUCACAGUUUAGUUUUCUAUUUUAAACAAAUUUAACACCACCAACAUAGGAUGAAGCAGGAGUAUCAAAAUCAAGUUUUGUUUGAUGGGAAAAAAUCUUACUUUACUGUGGUUGCAGGUUGCAAUCUUAUGUUUUUUUUUUUCUUCCGUAUUUUAUGGAUGGUGGUGUGGCUAGAUUUGAAAUUCAUACGCUGAAGAUGAUGAAGAGUGAUGCUUUUAUGAGAAGAUGAAAUUUGGACAGGCAAAUUCAAUAUUGUGAAGCUUGAAAGAAGAAUGACUAUAUAUGCAGCUUGAAAGAAAAAAGAUACAAUUGGAAAAUAAAAGAAGAAUUAUAUCACAUAUUUUAGGCUUUAUGUGUAGUUCGUGAGAUUGAUACCGAUGUCUGCAAAAUUUUAUAUGUGUGCUUAACUAUUCAGAGCUGGUUCAAGGUAAUUUUCUGCAUAAUUUGGAGCGAGAUCGAGGUGAUUUUCUGCAUAAUUUAGAGCUGGUUUUCGGCAUGUGGACUAAUGUAAUGCAACAGCAGUGUUUUGGUAUUGCAGCUGCUACGUAGUGUGUCAACUAUAGGUAAUCCUUACAAAAAUAAGUUAACAACCUUACAUGGACAUUCAAGAACUGCUUGGGCUGCCAAUUGCAUGCUUAAUUUGUGAGUAUAAGUUUGGAACUAUUUGUUGAUUGUAAUUUUAUUAGUGUAAGUCAACUGAUAAAGGUUAAUCAAUAAUCACUCUCUUUCGUCUACAAUUUUUUUCUUUGUUAUAAUGGUUAUUCUUUGUUGUCGACUUCAUAGAUUUAUCAAAGAUCAAAUGCUAUCGAUUUUGAAUAACUCAGUUGGACCAAGCAUGGCUCAUUCCAUAUCAAUUUAAGAUUGCAAGUAUCUUUUAUUUUUCUAUGCUUAAUUGAAAUAAAUGUGCCCCUGUUGGUAGUUAUUUUAAAUUGGAUAGAAGAAAAUGUUGGAGAAAUGUGAAAUUGAACAGCAAGAAGACAAUUUAUCAAUCUAACAAUUAAAGUCUUUGUAAAAUCACGGAUCUCAUAUUCUGCAGCGUGCUAUAAAUGUAUGUUUGAUUGCAAGUUGCAACUAUAUCAGUUUGUUUUGAGUUGUAAGUAAAAAGUAAAUAUUGAGAUUUUGAGUCUAUUUUAGCAAUUUUGAUCAAUUUGUAAGGUAUUAGCCACUAUUUGAAAGUUCUUUCUUUGCUUGGUUUUAUGAUUUUUCAAGGAGCAUUACUUUGUGUGGCUAAUUUAGAUUGAUAGAGCUAUUCUUUUG